rnacentral:rRNA from 1 species
UACAGAGGGUGCGAGCGUUAAUCGGAAUUUCUGGGCGUAAAGCGUGCGUAGACGGUUGUCUAAGUCGGAUGUGAAAUCCCCGGGCUCAACCUGGGAAUUGCAUUCGAGACUGAACAGCUAGGGUGCGGAAGAGGGAAGCGGAAUUUCCGGUGUAGCAGUGAAAUGCGUAGAUAUCGGAAGGAACAUCAGUGGCGAAAGCGGCUUCCUGGUCCAGCACCGACGUUCAGGCACGAAAGCGUGGGCAGCAAACAGG